rfam:Candidatus Wildermuthbacteria bacterium RIFCSPHIGHO2_02_FTLL_48_16 rifcsphigho2_02_scaffold_22058, whole genome shotgun sequence.
GCCUGGGUGCUGGAACGGUAUACAGUCUGGUCUCAAAAACCAGUGGGAGCAAUCCCAUGAGGGUUCGAUUCCCUCCCCAGGCA